UAACAGAAAAAUCUUCAUUCCCUGUAGGCAUUUAAUUAAACCUAGUUGAGAAGUGUGUGGGAUUCCUCAAUUAUGAACAAAACGCGUAUAUUGGCUUUCUUUAAAAAAAAAAAAAGAAGAAAAAAGAAAAGGCAAAGUCCUUCGAAACUCAGAGUCCCAUUCAUUUAUCAUUAACUCCUAUCAUUCUACAUAGUUCUGAUUCCAAUAUGCCAGGGUACCAGUGGCAUGACAUUGUUUUUCCUCAUAGAAAUUUGCCAUAGUCUCUCCUCCAUUAUUUGGUUGGUUACAGCCUCAUAAAGGAAGACAGGAGUUGCUUCUUUCUGCAAGAAAGAAGGUUAAAAACUGUAAAUAUUUCCCCCAAAUGGCCAGGGUAUUAUUUUAUUGCAUCACAUCAUUUGCAUCUUAAGAUCUAGAAUCUUUGCUGCUCUCUUCCAGGCCCUUGGUGAUUAACAGAAAGGAAAUGACCUUGUACAUUUGCUCAUAGGGUAUUUCUGGCCCUCCUGGUCCCCCUGGUCCUGCUGGGAAAGAAGGGCUUCGUGGUCCUCGUGGUGACCAAGGUCCAGUUGGCCGAACUGGAGAAGUAGGUGCAGUUGGUCCCCCUGGCUUCGCUGGUGAGAAGGGUCCCUCUGGAGAGGCUGGUACUGCUGUAAGUGAUUUCCAACUCCUCUUUCUUAAUACCUUAUGCUGAAUUAAAAUAAAGCCCCUACACAAAUCUUCAAGUGGCAUCUAUUUGUUGAUGAGUAUUGCAGGCUCUCAAGUAGAGCUCAGUUGAGCCAGGAAAUCUGUCCAGCACACACUGAGGGGCUGUGGCUUCCAAGAUGCUCAGAAAGCACAAAAUCGGGAAGACAAUAAAUGAGGGAACUCAGUUUUAUCACACAGCCCUUUAAGCUAUUGAAGGCACCUUACUGGUACCAGGAUUAGAACAGAGUCUCAUUGCUGUGGCCAUCCUACUACAUAUUAAUCAAUCUCAGUAGGCUACCAAUUUCUUAAACAUACACUGUCCAAUAUUAGUGCUACUCUGAAAGAUGCCCCUAUUAGACCUUAGAGGCCAAAGUCAAAAUUUGCUUCCUUUUGAUAUACUGAUUUUACUGAUUUCCUUUUUGUUUUUGUUUUUGUUUUUUUGUUUUGGGAUGGAGUUCCCCUCUGUUGCCCAGGCUGGAGUGCAGUGGCACGAUCUCAGCUCACUGCAACUUCCGCCUCCCCAAUUCAAGUAAUUCUCUUGUCUCAGCCUCCCAAGUAGCUGGGACUACAGGCACACACCAUCAUGCCUAGCUAAUUUUUGUAUUUUUAGUAAAGACGGGGUUUCACCAUAUUGGUCAGGCUGGUCUCGAUCUCCUGACCUCAGGUGAUCCACCCACCUUGACCUCCUAAAGUGCUGGGAUUACACAUGUGAGCCACCCCACCCAGCCUGAUUUCCUUUCCUUUGUGUAUAUACCCAGCAGUGUGAUUGCUGGAUCUUAUGGUAGUUCUAUUUUUAGUUUUUUGAGGAACCCCUCCUACUAUGUACAACUAUUAUGUAUCCAUAACAAUUUAAAUUUUUUUAUUUGUUUCCCUGCCUAGAGGCUAUAAAAACUCUAUUUCACCACCCCAAGUGUCUUUAUAAAUCUCAACCACAUAUUUUUAAAUGUUGUGCCAUUGGUCUCAAGGAUGAAUCAGAUACAAAAGUAUUCAUGCCAAGAUGUAAACUCACCAUCAUCACUAGAGAAAAGAUAUCCAAGGAUAUGUCCUAGUAAUAGGAGGUCAUUAGCCUUUUUCUAAGCUGAAGACAGUUUAUUCUCACAAUCUUCAAGCCAACCUGUGUUAUCACCUAGGGUCUUACCCAUAAUACUCAGUAUUUUUUCUCUAUUUAGGGACCUCCUGGCACUCCAGGUCCUCAGGGUCUUCUUGGUGCCCCUGGUAUUCUGGGUCUCCCUGGCUCGAGAGGUGAACGUGGUCUACCAGGUGUUGCUGGUGCUGUGGUGAGUGCUUGACAGUAUUCUGACUCCAUUAACAUAAGAAAAGAUUUUAAAAGCUGCCACUUCAAAUGUGACAGAUUGAUCACUGAAUAACUUCACUUAAGAUUUUUAUUCAUGGCAUUUUCUUUAUACAGAUCACAUGUCACUUAUCUAAGAAGCUUUAAUACCACCUUACUUAGACACACACUAUAAAGACACAGCUUAAAAUUAUGCAGAAUGAUUUUUGUUCUUUCCACGCACUUAGGAAUGAUACAAUCUCUAAUUGCAUUUACUCCUCUGCAAUAUGAAAUGCUGGCAUCAUUUAUCCUGUAGGAAGAAUGAAACUCUGGAAGUUCUGAAUCAUUCCAUUAAACCUUAUACGUGACAACAACUAGAAACCAUCUCAUCUCCAUAAACUAUAUCAACUUUUUGAAUUCAUUUCAUUUGGGAUACUGAAUGACACGAGGCUCACUUUUUACAGAGCAACAUCCCGUGAUUACAUAAAGCUGGCCAUCUACAUGUGGAGAAGGAGGGCAGGGAUGAUACUAAUGAUACUUCUUACCAUUGUGUGACCCAUUCACAUUCAAUUUACCUUCUUCCUUCAAACUAGAAUCUCCUGAGUAGGGUUGUUUUGGAGGGGAAGGUUAGCAUUCCAUCGAAUAAGGGGAAUGUCAUUUUAUCUUCUCUGCCUGUUUAGGGUGAACCUGGUCCUCUUGGCAUUGCCGGCCCUCCUGGGGCCCGUGGUCCUCCUGGUGCUGUGGGUAGUCCUGGAGUCAACGGUGCUCCUGGUGAAGCUGGUCGUGAUGGCAACCCUGGGAACGAUGGUCCCCCGGGUCGCGAUGGUCAACCCGGACACAAGGGAGAGCGCGGUUACCCUGGCAAUAUUGGUCCCGUUGGUGCUGCAGGUGCACCUGGUCCUCAUGGCCCCGUGGGUCCUGCUGGCAAACAUGGAAACCGUGGUGAAACUGGUCCUUCUGGUCCUGUUGGUCCUGCUGGUGCUGUUGGCCCAAGAGGUCCUAGUGGCCCACAAGGCAUUCGUGGUGAUAAGGGAGAGCCCGGUGAAAAGGGGCCCAGAGGUCUUCCUGGCUUAAAGGGACACAAUGGAUUGCAAGGUCUGCCUGGUAUCGCUGUAAGUAAACUGUAGCCAUCUCGCACAUAAACUGAUCCUGAAGGCCUUCAGCUCAGAAGGAUUUUCAUAUUUUCACUGCUAUUGUUCCAGUAUAGCCUAUAUAAUAUCCAUUUCCCAUUCUCUGGCUAACUCCAUCUCACUCUUGGAGGUAAUGCUAUUUCAUACCAACAUGAAAGGUGAGGAUUAAGGGAGAUAGAAAUAUACAUACAUUAUAAUCUCCUGGUAACAAUGUCCUUCAACCCCACUUAAAAUAAACAUAAUUAGAGGAAUGACUAAUAUUGCACUGCUGAAAUAGGUUGUGAAAAAAAAUUGAAUAUAAUAGACAUAAUGGGAGAAAAGAGCCCCACUUUACAUUUUCAAUUUUCUCAAUCCGGAGUCCAUUUAAACUAAAGUUUCCCAUUCAAUUUGGAAAAAAAAAAUAUGUCUCUUGACAUGUGCUCUAAAAGUGUGAUUUUCCUCUUCUGUCUUUAAAGGGUCACCAUGGUGAUCAAGGUGCUCCUGGCUCCGUGGGUCCUGCUGGUCCUAGGGGCCCUGCUGGUCCUUCUGGCCCUGCUGGAAAAGAUGGUCGCACUGGACAUCCUGGUACAGUUGGACCUGCUGGCAUUCGAGGCCCUCAGGGUCACCAAGGCCCUGCUGUAAGUAUGAUUUGGGGAAAUAAUAAAGAAGAUCACGGACCUAAGGAAUGUUUUCUUCAGACUAAACCAAGACAACUUUGACAACCCAUUAAAGUUAGCCCCAUUUCAAUAUAUCCUCUAAAAUAUCUGGAAAUUGUCUAUAUGCAAUGGGCUUGUUAAGUCCAUCCCUGCAAGUGUGCCUGGGGGCUCGUUAUUUAUUUAUGUGAACUUGAUUAUUUUUUACUGAUUAGAACAUGCUUCCAUGUGAAGCUCAACUGAAAAUCUGCUGCCAUGGAUGUCUCUCACUGUAACAAAAUAUAAAGCCUCUCCUAUCUCACUUUCACCUUUGCAGGGCCCCCCUGGUCCCCCUGGCCCUCCUGGACCUCCAGGCGUAAGCGGUGGUGGUUAUGACUUUGGUUACGAUGGAGACUUCUACAGGGCUGACCAGCCUCGCUCAGCACCUUCUCUCAGACCCAAGGACUAUGAAGUUGAUGCUACUCUGAAGUCUCUCAACAACCAGAUUGAGACCCUUCUUACUCCUGAAGGCUCUAGAAAGAACCCAGCUCGCACAUGCCGUGACUUGAGACUCAGCCACCCAGAGUGGAGCAGUGGUUACUACUGGAUUGACCCUAACCAAGGAUGCACUAUGGAUGCUAUCAAAGUAUACUGUGAUUUCUCUACUGGCGAAACCUGUAUCCGGGCCCAACCUGAAAACAUCCCAGCCAAGAACUGGUAUAGGAGCUCCAAGGACAAGAAACACGUCUGGCUAGGAGAAACUAUCAAUGCUGGCAGCCAGUUUGAAUAUAAUGUAGAAGGAGUGACUUCCAAGGAAAUGGCUACCCAACUUGCCUUCAUGCGCCUGCUGGCCAACUAUGCCUCUCAGAACAUCACCUACCACUGCAAGAACAGCAUUGCAUACAUGGAUGAGGAGACUGGCAACCUGAAAAAGGCUGUCAUUCUACAGGGCUCUAAUGAUGUUGAACUUGUUGCUGAGGGCAACAGCAGGUUCACUUACACUGUUCUUGUAGAUGGCUGCUCUGUAAGUAAUAGUGAAAUAUGGGAAUAGCUUUGGGAAGUGGGAUGGGGGGGGUUCUAACUUAGACUGCCCCCAAGGGGGGGGGUCUAAAGGGGGGUUAAAAGAACAGAAGAAUGAGAGAACUAACUUAUUUCAUAAGUAAAUUCAGUUUUUGUAUGUAUUUUAUAUUUAUUUAUUUAUACGUAUUAAUUUCGUAUUUAAAUUCAGAUGAUAAAUUCAGAGUAUUCUUAUCAGAUAGUGCCUUCUGAAAUGCUGAAAUGUAUACUAUGUCCAUGCAUUGUUUUUUCUUUACCAUGUUUUUUAAAUGGUAAUGUGUGCCCAGAACUUAAAAUUUCUUGAGACUUCAGUGGCCUAAACUAUAAUUUAUAGUUAUGUGUAUUUUAUUUUACUUAUUAGUAUGGCCUACAUUUAACUUUUAAUGCUUUUUCUACAAUAUGCUAUAAAUAUAAGAAAAAUUAAAAUUCACUAACAGCAAGACUACAUACCCACCCAGGUCCCGCUCCCAAAGACACACAUAGAGGGACAUACACACAACAAUCCUAAAAAUGACUUUGUAGAGAUAGGUCACUUGGAAUGUGUGUUGAAAUGUUGUUGGUUUUUUUGGUUUGUUUGUUUGUUUGUUUUUUGUUAGACUGAUAGGGAGCCCCUCCCACUAAAGACACCCUUGAUACUGUUAUUUCAAAGAUGAACUUAUUUAUCUGGGACAGACAUCUUCAGAAGGACACAUGCCAAACAGUGGUUCUUAUUAAAUCAAAGGUUCAGAUAUUAUCAGAUUCAGAAAUAGUGAUGCUUUGUGUAUCUAUUUUCUUCUCUUUAAACAGAAAAAGACAAAUGAAUGGGGAAAGACAAUCAUUGAAUACAAAACAAAUAAGCCAUCUCGCCUGCCCUUCCUUGAUAUUGCACCUUUGGACAUCGGUGGUGCUGACCAGGAAUUCUUUGUGGACAUUGGCCCAGUCUGUUUCAAAUAAAUGAACUCAAUCUAAAUUAAAAAAGAAAGAAAUUUGAAAAAACUUUCUCUUUGCCAUUUCUUCUUCUUCUUUUUUAACUGAAAGCUGAAUCCUUCCAUUUCUUCUGCACAUCUACUUGCUUAAAUCGUGGGCAAAAGAGAAAAAGAAGGAUUGAUCAGAGCAUUGUGCAAUACAAUUUCAUUAACUCCUUCCCCCGCUCCCCCAAAAAUUUGAAUUUUUUUUCAACACUCUUACACCUGUUAUGGAAAAUGUCAACCUUUGUAAGAAAACCAAAAUAAAAAUUGAAAAAUAAAA
rnacentral:sRNA from 1 species